rnacentral:rRNA from 1 species
AUACGAAGGGUGCAAGCGUUAAUCGGAAUUACUGGGCGUAAAGCGCGCGUAGGUGGUUCGUUAAGUUGGAUGUGAAAGCCCCGGGCUCAACCUGGGAACUGCAUCCAAAACUGGCGAGCUAGAGUAUGGCAGAGGGUGGUGGAAUUUCCUGUGUAGCGGUGAAAUGCGUAGAUAUAGGAAGGAACACCAGUGGCGAAGGCGACCACCUGGGCAAAAACGGACACGGAGGUGCGAAAGCGUGGGGAGCAAACAGGAUUAGAUCCCCUGGUAGUCCACGCCGUAAACGAUGUCGACUAGCCGUUGGGAUCCUUGAGAUCUUAGUGGCGCAGCUAACGCAUUAAGUCGACCGCCUGGGGAGUACGGCCGCAAGGUUAAAACUCAAAUGAAUUGGCGGGG